rnacentral:rRNA from 1 species
UACACUCCUACGGGAGGCAGCAGUGGGGAAUAUUGCACAAUGGGCGCAAGCCUGAUGCAGCCAUGCCGCGUGUAUGAAGAAGGCCUUCGGGUUGUAAAGUACUUUCAGCGGGGAGGAAGGCAAUACGGUUAAUAACCGUGUUGAUUGACGUUACCCGCAGAAGAAGCACCGGCUAACUCCGUGCCAGCAGCCGCGGUAAUACGGAGGGUGCAAGCGUUAAUCGGAAUUACUGGGCGUAAAGCGCACGCAGGCGGUCUGUCAAGUCGGAUGUGAAAUCCCCGGGCUCAACCUGGGAACUGCAUUCGAAACUGGCAGGCUUGAGUCUUGUAGAGGGGGGUAGAAUUCCAGGUGUAGCGGUGAAAUGCGUAGAGAUCUGGAGGAAUACCGGUGGCGAAGGCGGCCCCCUGGACAAAGACUGACGCUCAGGUGCGAAAGCGUGGGGAGCAAACAGGAUUAGAUACCCGAGUAGUCCCAUGAU